GAGACCUAUCACCUGAAACAGUUCACAAAUCCUUGGUUUUGUUGAAAAAUGAGGAAGAUCCAAAGAAACCAUUUCUUCCUCUAGAUAAGACCGCAAAAAAAUACUCGUUGCUGGAACUCAUGCUGAUGAUCUUAGAUACCAAUGUGGAGGAUGGACAACUACAUGGACAGGACUCAGUGGCAGAAUCACAGUUGAAAUAGCACCUCAGUACUACCAGUUGAAAGAUGUCGAAGACGUGCGCUAAAAGCUUUCGAGAGUAACAUCAUAUUCUCAAAUGGCCUAUUAGUUCGAUGGAGUGGUGGCAGUGUCCUGAAGGAUGUGGCAGAAACUAUAGCUGCUCUUAUAACUGAGAAAGUAAUAAGCAAGUUCCCCACAAGGCAUACUCUACACACC